AUUGAACGCUGGCGGCAGGCCUAACACAUGCAAGUCGAACGAGUGGCGUACGGGUGAUUCAUGUCUGGGAAACUGCCUGAUGGAGGGGGAUAACUACUGGAAACGGUCGCUAAUACCGUAUACCAUCGGAUGUGCCUAGAUGGGAUUAGCUAGUAGGGAGGGUAAAGGCUCACCUUGGCGACGAUCCCUAGCUGGUCUGAGAGGAUGACCAGCCUCACUGGAACUGAGUCACGGUCCGGACUCCUACGUGAGGCAGCAGUGGGGAAUAUUGCACAGUGGGCGCAAGCCUGAUGCAGCCGAGCCGCGUGUAUGAAGAAGGCCUUCGGGUUGUAAAGUGCUUGCAGCGGGGAGGCGUUAACCGCAGGAGAAGCACCGACUAACUCCGUGACAGCAGCCACGGUGAUAC
rnacentral:rRNA from 1 species